rnacentral:rRNA from 1 species
UGAAACGGAUUUAUUCGCCUAAAGAAAAGCUCGCGGCUGAUUAGCUAGUUGGUAGGGUAACGGCUUACCAAGGCGACGAUCAGUAUCUGGUUUGAGAGGACGAUCAGACACACUGGAACUGAGACACGGUCCAGACUCCUACGGGAGGCAGCAGUGGGGAAUUUUCCGCAAUGGGCGAAAGCCUGACGGAGCAAUACCGCGUGAGGGAAGAAAGCCUACUGGGUUGUAAACCUCUUUUUUCAGGGAGGAAAAAAAUGACGUGUACCUGAAGAAUAAGCAUCGGCUAACUCCGUGCCAGCAGCCGCGGUAAGACGGAGGAUGCAAGUGUUAUCCGGAAUUACUGGGUGUAAAGCGUCUGUAGGUGGUUUAAUAAGUCAACUGUUAAAUCUUGAGGCUUAACUUCAAAACAG